GGGAAGGUGGCUCAGUGGUAGGUAGAGUGCUUGCCUUGCAUGCAUGAGGCCCUGGGUUCAAUUUCUCAGCACCCCA
rfam:Dipodomys ordii contig_1608, whole genome shotgun sequence.